GUUUGAUCCUGGCUCAGAACGAACGCUGGCGGCAGGCCUAACACAUGCAAGUCGAGCGCACCCUUCGGGGCGAGCGGCGGACGGGUUAGUAACGCGUGGGAACAUACCCUUUUCUACGGAAUAGCCUCGGGAAACUGAGAGUAAUACCGUAUAAGCCCUUCGGGGGAAAGAUUUAUCGGGAAAGGAUUGGCCCGCGUUAGAUUAGAUAGUUGGUGGGGUAAUGGCCUACCAAGUCUACGAUCUAUAGCUGGUUUUAGAGGAUGAUCAGCAACACUGGGACUGAGACACGGCCCAGACUCCUACGGGAGGCAGCAGUGGGGAAUCUUAGACAAUGGGCGCAAGCCUGAUCUAGCCAUGCCGCGUGUGUGAUGAAGGCCUUAGGGUCGUAAAGCACUUUCGCUAGGGAUGAUAAUGACAGUACCUAGUAAAGAAACCCCGGCUAACUCCGUGCCAGCAGCCGCGGUAAUAAGGGCGAAUU
rnacentral:rRNA from 1 species